rnacentral:rRNA from 1 species
UAGUUGGUGGAGUGAUUUGUCUGGUUAAUUCCGAUAACGAACGAGACUCUGACCAAUUACUAGUGAAAUCUUUAGAAAAGAAAGUUACCGCAGUAAUGCAGUUUCAUUCGAGAUAUUACUUCUUAAGGGGACACGCUAUUGUGAAUAGCACGAGGAAGAGCAAUAACAGG